GGGGCUGCCCACUGAGUGCCUCCCUCCUGCGCUGUCCACCAGAGGAAGAGGCCACGGCAGGGCUAAGGAAAACAGUGGUAUUGGGCACAUUGAUAAUAGCCCUCCUUUACCCAGGAGCUGUCAGGUGUCACGUGGUUUAGGUGCAUUAGCUAUUCCCGUGACUGCAUUCCAAGAUGCAGCCACACAGCCACCUAGUGACCGGGCGGGGAACUGCAGCGGCUGGGGCCCAAGCCUGACCGCUCCCUUGUCGAGCAGACCUGGAAGGAGAGGAGGCCACCUGAGGACUCACUUUGCAGGGGUGUCUCCUCGUGCAAGCACCUCUCACACAGAGCCGAGACAUGGAGGGCCGGCGACGCUGGCAGUGGAGGAAUUCACCAGGCAAGGACAGCAUGGAGACGAGUGUGGACCAGGUCAGGUGUUGUCCAGAGGCAGCAGGCUUCUUCCAGCAUGGCGCUGUGACCUCUAUUCCACGGGAUGCACUUCCGGAUCUGCCACUUUCUGAAGUGGGACUGGUAGUGUCAUCUUUUUUGGGGGGGACCUUGUGCUUGCGAGGCAGGCGGUGGCACCACUGAGCUAAAUCCCCGGCCCCUGGUAGUGUCUUUAGUUGCACUAUCAUGACUGCUUCGAUGUCCUGAAACAAUUUAAAAUGUUUCCUUUUUCUAGUCAUUUUGACUAUAGGGAAUAGCCAGAAGUUGCAUGGUGCCAUAUCUGGUGAAUAAAGUGGACAAGGACACACUGUCAUGUUUUUCUGAGUCUGCCUUUCCAUUGGAUGUCACUCAGCAGCAGCAGCAUUCACUGUAAUUUUGAUCACACCUUGCAAACACUCAUGAAAGAGGACUUCCUGAACUGCUUCAGAAAGUGGCGAGUGCUGGGCAUGGUAGUAUAUGCCUGUGAUCCCAGCACUUGGGAGGCUGGGGCAGGAAGAUUGCCGAAAGUUUGAGGCCAGCCUGGGCUACAUAGUGAGUUCAAAGCCAGCCAGAACUG
rnacentral:lncRNA from 1 species